AGGGGGGCACGUAGAAGAGGAGCAGGAGGGAAAAACUGCAGAUCAAUCAUUUAUAAUUAACAAAAAUCCGAUUGGUGCUUUAAAUAGAGAUCAAUGUGUUUCAGGCUGACUAGAUUGUGAGGAUGUAUUCACCUUCUCGUAACUCUCCAAGCAAGCUGUCACACCUACAGAAUCACCAUUUGUUUUCUUAACAAAGCUUCAGGGGGCGCCAGGCUCUCAUUGAAAUUUCAUUAAUCUAAUGGAGUAAAGUCCUAUAGAAAAAAAUCAAAUUCUCGUUGGACGAGAUGCUACCUGGGAAAGAUAACCUCUGUUUGAACUCUCAGACUCUGAUCGCUCUGCUAUUAGUCUGAGGAAACAGACAGCAACAACGCUGAUUACAGCCACUGGCCUCCACAAUUUUUUUUUCUAACUAGCAAUUUCGAGUGCAAGUGCCCCGGUGUCAGCUAAAGAAACACAACUGCGGGUUUUCUCAGAUUGAAAUGGUGCUGAAAUGUCACUGAAUAGCUCACAAAGGACAAUCUACGGCUACAGAGACAUAAGCACAUAGGCAGCAGGAGGAAAAGCCCGUGCCCUCCUUUCCCAGGUGUCCCAGACUGCUCCAAGUUCAAGGUCUUAGAGCACAUUUGUACCCUCAACAAGAAGCAACACCUUUUAGCAAAGGUUUGGAAAGAAAAAAAAUCACAGAAGAGAAGUAAUUUAGCAUGGAGCGCAUACUUUACAGAUGGAUCCUACCUUCGGAUGCUUAUUAAAUCUAUGCAUGAUUGCGCUGGAGAAAAUUAAUCGCAUUGUUUCUCACUAUUCAAAAGGGGUUUGCAAACAGCACGAAAAUAAAAAGGAAGAUGAAGCCAGGGUCAUUGUUGUUUCUUCAGUUGUUUUUGCU